UACGGGGGGAGCAAGCGUUGUUCGGAUUUACUGGGCGUAAAGGGUGCGUAGGUGGCGGGGCAAGUCUGGUGUGAAAUCUCGGAGCUCAACUCCGAAACUGCACUGGAUACUGCCUUGCUCGAGUACUGGAGAGGAGAUUGGAAUUUACGGUGUAGCAGUGAAAUGCGUAGAUAUCGUAAGGAAGACCAGUGGCGAAGGCGAAUCUCUGGACAGUUACUGACACUGAGGCACGAAGGCCAGGGGAGCAAACGGG
rnacentral:rRNA from 1 species